CCUCUGGCCAAGAAGAAAUCAUCAUCAUCUGCUUGGGUCCCGCCACUGCCGCCUCCUAGGCCGAAGAAGACCCAACAACGUAAGAAGAAAGAGAAGCCCCCUCUAGAGAAGUGAGGGCACGAUAUGACUCCUGAGGAAUUGAUAGCGGCCGUGCAAAAAGAAGUGGACGAUCACUUCAAGCCAUAGAAUUCUGAGCCCAAGGUACCAGUGGAUCCAGCAGCCAAGAAAUUUUUUCUUGGAAUCAUGUGCCAACCAAAGGAGAAAGAACGCUUAUCGGACUAUGACCGCUCAAUCACAAAAUCAUGGGAGAAGAAGGGUAAUCGUCGGUACAACCAAGUUCCCUAGCUCAGAGAACAGCUCAACCAAUCGAUACUCCCUUUCAAGGUUCUUUCAAAAGAGGAUAAAGCUAUUGCAGAGUUUGUGGUGGAAACAGGCCUCACAAAAGAUCAGCUCCUUGGGAAAGACAAAGGCCCGAUUCACGAAGGGUCAGGCAGAAAACCAUUUAAACUGGGGGAACCUCUAAUGUGGCCAGAGUUAAUUGACAUGCUACCAACAAGAAUGCAUCGGUUUCAUCAAUGGUACAUGAAAUAUUCUGCAGCGGGGAAUAUAAUGUUCGCUGCUCGAAUUAAACAUAGCCAUUUCUAUCGGGGGAUGGAUGACGUAUGGAUCGAGCUAGAGAAUCUUUGGGAUCUAUACCAUCAAGACGCCCUAGACAAGUCCAUCAUCAGUGUAUUUGCUAUGAUGAAGAUACGAGAAUGCUGAAAAAAGGCAUCUACAACAUUGGCUUCAUGGACCCGUAUGUCAUGCAUGAGGAGAGCGUACGUAAAUGGCCAAAUAAAACACAGAAUAACAUAUUCAUGGCCUUGGAUGGGUAGCACCAUUGUACAUUCAUUUUGUUGCCAUAUAACUUCGAGUGAGUCCUUUGACCUUUUUUAAUCACUUCAUUUUGUCGUACCACUUGAUGACUUGAGUCCUUUAACCUUUUUUCAUCACAUCAAUUUCAACAGCUUCCACUGGAUCUUGCUCUAUAUCGAGAUCGAUCGGGCUUGAGUUGUGGUGUUCAACUCUCUGAGGAAGCCACAAGAAAAAUAUCAAGAUCUCAUAGACAUCCUGCAAAAGGCAUGGGCUCGGUUCGUCAAACAACACAUGGGAGUCGUCACGUCAACUCCAUAUGAUCUUCAUAUCAAACUUGACUUUCCGUGUUUGAAACAGAAGCAAGGAACCAACCUAUGUGGCUACUAUGUAUGUGAGCACAUGCAUUAUUUUUGCCAAUGGAUGACACAACAAGCAUUCGAUAUUUGGAGUAUGGCAGAGAGCCUUAUCGAACCGGUAAGAAUCCGGGCAAUUCAAGAAUCAAUCUGUGGAUUCAUGCUCAAUGAGGUGAUAAAUCCAAAAGGUAAAUUUUAUUCGAAUCAAAUGAUAAGCGUGGCCCAAGUUGAUCCAAAGAGGCGCGGCAACAUCGAUGAC